rnacentral:tRNA from 1 species
CCUUCGAUAGCUAAGUUGGUAGAGCGGUGGACUGUAGCAACGAGCGUGGAACGAUUGUGAGUUGGCAAUUGGUACCUUAAAUGCCUGCGAUCAACCGUCUCCAAUGUAGUUAGAAAUCCAUAGGUCACUGGUUCAAAUCCGGUUCGAAGGA